rnacentral:tRNA from 1 species
UCCACGCUGGUGUAAUGGCUAACAUCGCUGUCUUUCACACAGCAGCUCGGGGUUCGAUUCCCCGGCGUGGAA